rnacentral:rRNA from 1 species
GAUGAACGCUAGCGGCAGGCUUAACACAUGCAAGUCGAGGGGUAUAGUUCUUCGGAGCUAGAGACCGGCGCACGGGUGCGUAACGCGUAUGCAAUCUACCUUUUGCAGAGGGAUAGCCCAGAGAAAUUUGGAUUAAUACCUCAUGGUAUGUGAGAAUGGCAUCAUAUUCACAUUAAAGUCACAACGGCAAAAGAUGAGCAUGCGUCCCAUUAGCUAGUUGGUAAGGUAACGGCUUACCAAGGCAACGAUGGGUAGGGGUCCGGAGAGGGAGAUACCCCACACUGGUACUGAGACACGGACCAGACUCCUACGGGAGGCAGCAGUGAGGAAUAUUGGACAAUGGGCGCAAGCCUGAUCCAGCCAUGCCGCGUGCAGGAUGACGGUCCUAUGGAUUGUAAACUGCUUUUGUACAGGAAGAAACACUGGUUCGUGAACCAGCUUGACGGUACUGUAAGAAUAAGGAUCGGCUAACUCCGUGCCAGCCGCCGCGGUAACAC